UGGGCCGUUACUGACGNUGAGGAGCGAAAGCGUGGGGAGCGAACAGGAUUAGAUACCCUGGUAGUCCACGCCGUAAACGUUGGNCACUAGGCGUGGGGGGCCUUUUCCGGGUNUUCCGCGCCGUAGCUAACGCAUUAAGUGCCCCGCCUGGGGAGUACGGCCGCAAGGCUAAAACUCAAAGGAAUUGACGGGGGCCCGCACAAGCGGCGGAGCAUGCGGAUUAAUUCGAUGCAACGCGAAGAACCUUACCAAGGCUUGACAUGUGCCGGUCGGCUCCGGAGACGGGGUUUCCCCCUUGUGGGGCCGGUUCACAGGUGGUGCAUGGUUGUCGUCAGCUCGUGUCGUGAGAUGNNNNNNNNANNNNCGCAACGAGCGCAACCCUUGUCCCGUGUUGCCAGCACGUUGUGGUGGGGACUCGCGGGAGACUGCCGGGGUCAACUCGGAGGAAGGUGGGGAUGACGUCAAAUCAUCAUGCCCCUUAUGUCUUGGGCUUCACGCAUGCUACAAUGGCCGGUACAGAGGGCUGCGAUACCGUGAGGUGGAGCGAAUCCCUUAAAGCCGGUCUCAGUUCGGAUCGGUGUCUGCAACUCGACACCGUGAAGUUGGAGUCGCUAGUAAUCGCAGAUCAGCAACGCUGCGGUGAAUACGUUC
rnacentral:rRNA from 1 species